AAGUCGUAACAAGGUUUCCGUAGGUGAACCUGCGGAAGGAUCAUUAACACGUAUCCACGUAUCAACCAAUGAGAACCUGUUUUCCCGUCUCCCUGUGCAAAGAAUGAAUUGGAACCAGUUUGAGGGAGUGAUGGGACCGAAAGGUCGGCCUUCCUGGUAUACUUAUGUAGACAGAAAUGUUUGCAUAGACAAUUGUAUUUUUGUUACAGGCUAUUUCUUAUCGCUUUGAUCCCCAUCAUGAUCGUGGCGGUGGGAAACUUUCACUAUAUUUACCUUUUUUGCUAGUUGACUUUUUAUAUGUGUUGUCUUGCGAAAGCAUGGUGGCACACGUUUAUUAAUUGAACGUUAAAAAAUACAACUCUUAGCAAUGGAUAUCUUGGUUCUC
rnacentral:misc_RNA from 1 species